CAUAGAAUGAGCCUUUGCUUCUCUUCUGCAAGAAAAAAAACCAAAGACAUGAAUAAGGUCCAUAUUGAAUACUGUGCCGGAUGAGGUUACCUGUCCCGCUUCAGGGACCUGGAAGGAGCCCUCCGGCAGGUCCCUGGUGUGUCGGUGACGGGAUCCAAGGGGAGACCAAACAGUUUUGAGGUUUCACUGAACGGGCAGUUGAUCUACUCCAAGCUGAAAACACACUCAUUUCCUGAGACUGCACAGGUGGUAGCGAUGGUGAAGAAGAUUAUCCAGGAAACGAAGAAGUAAAGCCUCAGAGAAACAGCUGCUGGAGGAUCCAAUAAGAUCUGUAUUCACACUGCAAGAGAACGACAUGGUUUGUCUUCUGUGGUUCAGAGCUCAGUCUCAUCACGUCUGCUUAACAGAAGACCAAAAUUCAUUCAAACAUCAAAACAUCAUUCAGCUUAACCGUGGACCAUGAUCAACCGAGAAGAUGAGCCCAUGUGUUCUCUUGAUGGUGAAUAUAGACACAGACCAGGAGAUGAUGGGAGCCACACUCAGGAGCCGGGCACUGACUUCUGUUUAUGAUUGUAUACACUGAAAAACACAUGGUGUGUACAUGAUGCAGGGCUAGAAGCUUUUCAGUCGACAGGAGCCUGAGGAUGUGCUCCCAUCGUGUCUGUCUCUACUCACACGUAACAUUUCUUUAGCUGUCUCAAUCAAACACACUUGUUCCAUCAUCCAUUUUGUUCUGUUAAUAUAAAUCUAAAGUCUCCGAGCUGAGAUUUGAUUAAAAGAAUAGUUUGACAUUUUAAGAAAAAUACGAUAUUUGCCUUCUCGUCGCAACAUGAGAAGAUUGAUACACUGUAAUUUCUUGAAUUUAAAGCCAAUGUUUACGUCCAGUUAUCUAAAGCUCACAAAUAUUUUUGAAAAUGACAAUUUGCCAUUUCAGUGGGGGCAUUUCUUGACUACCACUUAAUACCAUAAGUCUCAUGUGCUGGCCCAGGCUAAAAUAAGCCUCCUGUACAAUGGUUCAUAGAUUUACAUUUUGCUUUUUGUAUGGAUUAAACAUACAGGAUACAACAUGUUAUUGCUAACUGCUAACUCUUGGGAAGAAAGAAAAGAGUAUUCAAGAACAUUUUUAAAAACUUUAAUUUGUGUUAUGUUGCAAACAGGAAAUGCAAUUCAAAUUUCAGAUUCAUUAAUUAUUUGGCAUUUUCAUAACACCUUGAAUCACUUAGACGUCUUUAUUCCUCAGGAAGUUCUCACCUUCAUACCUUGCAUAUUUUCCUUUGAUGAGACAGCUACUGCAAAUGUUCUGCCUUCUCUGUCACUGAAGAAUAUUCAUUCAAUGACAAAUGAUGACUCUAACAAAUAUACUUGUAAUUUCAAACACAGGGAUGCUGGAACUCAGGCGGAUGUGGAACUGUUGAGAGAAAGUCUAGGCUCUACAAUGCUAUCAUAUAAAACUUUUUACCUCACAAAAAGCACCAAACGUCAUCUGGGCAAUAGAUGGGCUGCACCAAAAAUGCACCACAUAUUGUAAAAUGGAAUAUAUUAAUUAAAAAUAAUUCAAAUUUAGCAAAAAGGAUAGGUAUUUUACUAUUUCACUUUAAAAUGUUGCUUUCGUUAAAGAAGUUAUUUCUUUAGUUAACUUUAUCCUCAACAACUCUACUUCCAGCAUCCUUGAAACAUUUCACAUAUCAAACAGUUCAUAAACAAUAAAUCAUCACUUUCAACAACAAUUAAUUUCA